rnacentral:rRNA from 1 species
UUCUGGCUCAGGAUGAACGCUGGCGGCGUGCCAAUACAUGCAAGUCGAGCGAGAAUCAAUUGAACAGCGAUUCGUCAAUGGGAUAUUGAGGAAAGCGGCGGACGGGUGAGUAACGCGUAGGCAACCUGCCCUUAGCAGAGGGAUAGCCAUUGGAAACGAUGAUUAAAACCUCAUAAUGCUUGAGGAGCACAUGCUCCUUGAGCCAAAGAUUUAUCGGCUAAGGAUGGGCCUGCGUCUGAUUAACUGGUUGGUGAGGUAACGGCUCACCAAGGUGACGAUCAGUAGCCGACCUGAGAGGGUGAUCGGCCACAUUGGAACUGAGACACGGUCCAAACUUCUACGGAAGGCAGCAGUAAGGAAUCUUGCACAAUGGGGGAAACCCUGAUGCAGCAACGCCGCGUGAACGAUGAAGGCCUUCGGGUUGUAAAGUUCUGAUCUUGGGGAAGAAGAAAGUGACGGUACCCAAGGAGAAAGCCCCGGCUAACUACGUGCCAGCAGCCGC